UCCCGUGUGGCUCAGUUGGUAGAGCAUGGCUCUUGCAAUGCCAGGGUUGUGGAUUCAUUUCCCAUGGGGG
rfam:Salmo salar isolate Sally breed double haploid chromosome ssa01, whole genome shotgun sequence.